CAAAAAAUAAGCUAUUUUCUUUACUUUCAGAGUGCAAACUGAUAAAGGGGUCGCAAAUGUAGAUAUUGCCAGAUGUUCACUGUCCGAGGAACAGGCCGCGGGAAGCUUUAUUGCUGGCAGAUGUGUCCAUAACCAGAGAUUAUAUCAGGUGUUUUGGUGAACCCCUCCCGCAUCUGAACUGGCUAACACAGAGGGAACAGCAUGAUCAUAGGUAUGUUUUAAUGUGAGAGAGGAAGCCAGUCCCGUCAUCGCCACCACACCCGCUCUUAAGAUAACCUUUGGGCCAACUGGGGUCCCAAGGCUGGUUAGGAGACACUGCUAGAAACACUGUAAUUGUGAUGAACUGAGAGAAUAUUAGGGUAGCACUAUAGUUCAUUAAUCAUAUGCUGUCUACCUCUUUUCUUACCUCCUUCCUUUUCUGUCUUCUACAUCUCUCUC